rnacentral:rRNA from 1 species
GACGAACGCUGGCGGCGUGACUAAUACAUGCAAGUCGAACGCAGUGGGGACGGGUGAGUAACAAGUGGGUAACCUCCCAUAAGAGGGGAUAACACUUGGAAACAGGUGCUAAACCGAUACUGAUGGAUGGACCCGCGGUGCAUUGGCUAGUUGGGGGGGUAACGGCUCACCAAGGACACGAUGCAUAGCCGACCUGUGUGUGUGUGCAGCCACUAGUGGAUUUGGACACGGUCCAGCGUCCUACGGUAGGCAGCCGUAGCGAAUCUUCGGCAAUUGACGAAAUUCUGACCGAGCAACGCCGCGUGAGUUAAGAAGGUUUUCGGAGCGUAAAACUCUGUUGUUAUAGCAGCGGUAUCUAACCAGAAAGCCACGGCUAACUACGUGCCAGCAGCCGCGGUAAUUC